rnacentral:rRNA from 1 species
CCUACGGUGGCUGCAGUGGGGAAUAUUGGACAAUGGGCGAAAGCCUGAUCCAGCCAUGCCGCGUGUGUGAAGAAGGCCUUCGGGUUGUAAAGCACUUUCAGUGGGGAAGAAAGCCUUGGGGCUAAUACCCUCGAGGAAGGACAUCACCCACAGAAGAAGCACCGGCUAACUCCGUGCCAGCAGCCGCGGUAAUACGGAGGGUGCGAGCGUUAAUCGGAAUUACUGGGCGUAAAGCGCGCGUAGGCGGUCUGAUAAGCCGGUUGUGAAAGCCCCGGGCUCAACCUGGGAACGGCAUCCGGAACUGUCAGGUUAGAGUGCAGGAGAGGAAGGUAGAAUUCCCGGUGUAGCGGUGAAAUGCGUAGAGAUCGGGAGGAAUACCAGUGGCGAAGGCGGCCUUCUGGACUGACACUGACGCUGAGGUGCGAAAGCGUGGGUAGCAAACAGGAUUAGAUACCCGUGUAGUC